rnacentral:rRNA from 1 species
GUUAAAACUCAAAUGAAUUGACGGGGGCCCGCACAAGCGGUGGAGCAUGUGGUUUAAUUCGAUGCAACGCGAAGAACCUUACCUGGUCUUGACAUCCACAGAACUUUCCAGAGAUGGAUUGGUGCCUUCGGGAACUGUGAGACAGGUGCUGCAUGGCUGUCGUCAGCUCGUGUUGUGAAAUGUUGGGUUAAGUCCCGCAACGAGCGCAACCCUUAUCCUUUGUUGCCAGCGAUUAGGUCGGGAACUCAAAGGAGACUGCCAGUGAUAAACUGGAGGAAGGUGGGGAUGACGUCAAGUCAUCAUGGCCCUUACGACCAGGGCUACACACGUGCUACAA